CCUACGGGAGGCAGCAGUGGGGAAUAUUGCACAAUGGGGGAAACCCUGAUGCAGCGACGCCGCGUGAGUGAAGAAGUAUUUCGGUAUGUAAAGCUCUAUCAGAAGGGAAGAAAAUGACGGUACCUGAUUAAGAAGCCCCGGCUAACUACGUGCCAGCAGCCGAGGUAAUACGUAGGGGGCAAGCGUUAUCCGGAUUUACUGGGUGUAAAGGGAGCGUAGGCGGCAGCACAAGUCUGGAGUGAAAUGCCGGGGCCCAACCCCGGAACUGCAUUGGAAACUGUGCUGCGGGAGUGCAGGAGAGGUAAGUGGAAUUCCUAGUGUAGCGGUGAAAUGCGUAGAUAUUAGGAGGAACACCAGUGGCGGAGGCGGCUUACUGGACGGUAACUGACGCUGAGGCUCGAAAGCGUGGGGAGCAAACAGGAUUAGAUACCCGGGUAGUC
rnacentral:rRNA from 1 species